rnacentral:rRNA from 1 species
UACGUAGGUCCCGAGCGUUGUCCGGAUUUAUUGGGCGUAAAGCGCGCGCAGGUGGUUUAAUAAGUCUGAUGUAAAAGGCAGUGGCUCAACCAUUGUGUGCAUUGGAAACUGUUAGACUUGAGUGCAGUAGAGGAGAGUGGAAUUCCAUGUGUAGCGGUGAAAUGCGUAGAUAUAUGGAGGAACACCGGUGGCGAAAGCGGCUCUCUGGACUGUAACUGACACUGAGGCUCGAAAGCGUGGGUAGCAAACAGG